CUGAGGAACAGUUACAACUGGAAAGAAGGUCAGCUUCAUGUUGUUGUUGUUGUUGUUGUUGUUGUUGUUGCUGCUGCUGUUGUUCUUAUACCCCAGUAAGCUUUCAUACCACCUUGGGUUUAUUCCCUCUUUUUGACAGUUAAAGCACCACAUUUUCAUUGAUGCCAGGAGAUGUUGAACAGUAGGGCACACAUCUUGGGGUGCCUCUGUUAUGGCACAAGAGAUAUUCCCAGACUGAUUGGGCAAGGUUCGGACCACAAUGUGUGUCUGGACAUUUAAAUUUGCAUUCUGAUUGGGCAAGACCUCUAGGGUUUUUAAAUUCUGUCUUGAUUGAAUUGGGCAAGAUCUCUAGGAUUUUUAAAUUGUAUAUGGAAUUGGGCAAGAUCAAGGCCUGUGUGGGCCUCGAUUUUUAAAUUGCAUCCCCCAGCUUGACAUUGACAUUUGUAUUCUGAUUGGGCAAGACCUCUAGGGUUUUUAAAUUCUGUAAGGAAUUGGGCAAGAUCAGGGCCUGUGUGGGCCUCGAUUUUUAAAUUGCAUCCCCCAGCUUGACUCAGCACACAAUCUCUAGGUUCCCUUAGAGUGAAUUGGGCAUGAUACCAUUUUUUUAAAAAUUCCAUGUUUGGGCAGCUUUAGGCCAGUGGACUGGAGUCCCAUGAGCUUGGAAUCUCCAAUGGCUCAACUGGGCAAGACAAUUGGUGUCUUUAAAUUAUGUCAGGGCCUUGUGGACAUAUUUUUCAGCCUGGGGUGUAGUGUUAAAUUUGGAUCAACUGACCACCCACUUUUAUUCAUGCUCUUGAUAAAGUCUGAAUCAAUUGGAUCACGUUGCGUGUUUUAUAUGCGCUUUGUCCCAAGUGUUUGGUGACCCAUGAAGAGAUGACUUCUUGUUUAGUGCGCUCAUGGACAUCUCGGAUCCUUAUUCCUUACUCAAGGAAAAACGCAUUGAUUUUGAAUGCUGGGCUCAAGGUUUUGAUGCUGUUCUGUCUAUUGAUAAAAUGGAAGGAAUCAUUUCACAUGCAAAUGUUUAAACUGGUUGUGUCAUGCAAGGGUUUUGAGAACUGUCUUGACUAAAGAAAUAGUUUGAUUGCCUUGUCAGCAAGAGAGGUGCCUGCAGCCUAGGCGGCAACCAUGCUAUCUUGCACAGACACAACAAGCCUUUUGGAAGGUUGUGUCUUUGUUGAAGACGAUGUUUAGCAUUUUAGCAUUCAAGACUCUUCAGACACGGCUUGCGAGAAUGCCCAGCCUGAGAAAUUGACACCCGAGUGAAUGGAGGUGAAUGCACCUGCUUAAGGAGAGGAAGGCAGAUCACCAAAGAUGGCAGGAGUCCAGUGGUGAGGCUGGGUUCGGCACUGGCAUUUUUAUUGACUUAGUGAAGGUGUGUUGCGACAGCUACCUGGGUAACUCCGGAAAUGGGCCCAGAAUUAUGUAAGGAUGACCAGACACUGUAUAUUUAUUAAAAUUGACUUGGACCUUCCUUUUAAAAAAUAUUUUUUUUUUUAAAGUAACCUCCAAAUUGUACUGUCAGAGUGAAUGCAGAAGAAAAGUGACGUAACAUCAGAGAAUCUCUGGGGAAGUGAUUUGAAACCGAGGUAAUCUUCUGCCUUCUUUUUCAAAUGGUAAGUGAAAUAAAAGGCAAAAAGUAAGAAAUAUCUUACAUAACAGAUGCCUGGGUGAGCAGGCAUUUGGGCAAAUGGAACCAUCCCCCCCGCAGCCCCCCAGCCCCAAUCAGUGACGAAAUGUGGAGCCCCACCACCAUAUGGAGCUCUAAAAUGGGUCGGGAAAUCCCGGAUGGUGUUGGGGAACUCUGACUCAAUGUAGGCUUCCCAAUGUCGGGGUUGGCUGAUCCCCGAAACCCUCCAACGUGGCCCAUCUCAGGCCAUGUCCAACACAACUGAUGCAGACUUGAACAGCCGUAUAUUAAGCACCUUCUCUCUUUCUGUUCCGAUUCUGCCCCCAAACUGAGCUGAACAGACCCAAGCCCAGAGAUGGAAGGGGAGCUGAAAAGGCUGGAGAACAGCAGAGACGCUCUCAAGGCUGGCUUCUACGAAUCCUUCGGUGGACUGCAUCCUCCCCAUGACUCCGAUGACAGCAGCAAUGGACCGAGAGAGAACCUACAUUAUGUGUUCAGGACUACAGAAACCCCCCUCCCCUUGGCCUCGUGCAGAGGGGAGGGAGUUUGUCCCAGCCCCGCUCUGCAUGAGGCCCAAGAAGCCGGCCGAUUGGCCCUUUGGGUUAGGGGGCGGGGUUUCGGCCGGGAUCAGCCGAUCCCUGCCCCGUUCUCCUCAGUUUGGGCCAGGCAUUCCCCUCCCUCCCUCCCUGGUACAGAGCGGGUCUAGCGACUGGUCGCCCAACGGGGCCGAGUAGGAAUUUUUUGCUCCCAACGCAUUGGCCACUGUUGGGGGUUUUUUCGCCUACUCCGUUCUGUGUUCCAGGUGUGUAGUUAGAGUUAGGCCGGUCACAAUGGCAGUAACAGUGCGGGCGGGGUGGUAAUUCGAGGGUUAGAACAUCGGUGAGCACCCUUGGAUAUUUAAAAGGGUGAUUGGUCAAUCGCUCCUUUGUGGCCUGUGCAGCACGGGGAGAAUGGAUUGCCAUGAAACCUGCUUCAGGACUUCACCCACCUUUGGGCUGAGCGGUCCGGGGUGGGCGAAGACCUUGAAGUAUCCAGAUCCUCUCUUACGAAAGGGGGGGUUGGCUUUGAAGGAAUUGGGCGGGGCGUACCUGCCCGUUUCCGGAGCCAGGGUGUGUCGCCCAGUAAGGUGCUGGGUAGGACGUCAGAGUUCUAACCCGGUCCUAUUGGCCCGCACUGUUCUCUAAGGGUGAUUAGUCACCUGGUGUUCCAGUCCGCCAUGUCUUUUGUUACAGUUAAUAAAGUUGUGGCCCUUUUACCCA